rnacentral:rRNA from 1 species
GCAGCCAUCAUUUAAAGAAAGCGUAAUAGCUCACUGGUCGAGUCGGCCUGCGCGGAAGAUGUAACGGGGCUAAACCAUGCACCGAAGCUGCGGCAGCGACGCUUAUGCGUUGUUGGGUAGGGGAGCGUUCUGUAAGCCUGUGAAGGUGGCCUGUGAGGGUUGCUGGAGGUAUCAGAAGUGCGAAUGCUGACAUAAGUAACGAUAAAGCGGGUGAAAAGCCCGCUCGCCGGAAGACCAAGGGUUCCUGUCCAACGUUAAUCGGGGCAGGGUGAGUCGACCCCUAAGGCGAGGCCGAAAGGCGUAGUCGAUGGGAAACGGGUUAAUAUUCCCGUACUUGGUGUUACUGCGAAGGGGGGACGGAGAAGGCUAUGUUGGCCGGGCGACGGUUGUCCCGGUUUAAGCGUGUAGGUGUGUGUUCCAGGUAAAUCCGGUUCACUUUAACACUGAGGCGUGACGACGAGGCACUACGGUGCUGAAGCAACAAAUGCCCUGCUUCCAGGAAAAGCCUCUAAGCAUCAGGUAACAUCAAAUCGUACCCCAAACCGACACAGGUGGUCAGGUAGAGAAUACCAAGGCGCUUGAGAGAACUCGGGUGAAGGAACUAGGCAAAAUGGUGCCGUAACUUCGGGAGAAGGCACGCUGACACGUAGGUGAAGUGAUUUACUCA